rnacentral:sRNA from 3 species
UAUCCAUCCCAUGCGGGAAGGAUGAGAAGCUUCGACUAAGGUUCGAUUCGAGCGGAGCGAGAAAACGUUGCCGCAGGCAACGACCCGAAGGGCGAGGCGCAACGCGCCGAGUAAUCCUUCCCCCACCACCA